rnacentral:rRNA from 1 species
UGGGGAAUCUUGCACAAUGGGGGAAACCCUGAUGCAGCGACGCCGCGUGAGCGAUGAAGGUUUUCGAAUCGUAAAGCUCUGUCCUAUGGGAAGUUAAUGACGGUACCAUGGGAGGAAGCCCCGGCUAACUACGUGCCAGCAGCCGCGGUAAUACGUAGGGGGCGAGCGUUGUCCGGAAUUACUGGGCGUAAAGGGUUCGCAGGCGGCAUGGCAAGUCCGAUGUAAAAGGCGAAGGCUCAACCUUCGUAAGCAUCGGAAACUGUCAAGCUUGAGUGAAGGAGAGGCAAGUGGAAUUCCUAGUGUAGCGGUGGAAUGCGUAGAUAGUAGGAGGAAUACCGGUGGCGAAGGCGACUUGCUGGACUUCAACUGACGCUGAGGAACGAAAGCGUGGGUAGCAAACAGG